rnacentral:lncRNA from 1 species
GAAGCAUGUGUUGUCGCCCCGAUGAAAUAUUCUUAGACUAGGUCCCUUAUGUUAGUUGUUUUAGGGACAUUAAAGUGAGAAUAACGGGAAUGGGUAAUUGGGUUAUUGUUGGUUGGUGAAAAUUAAAUAUGAUAUUUAUUGUGGGUUGAAAACCCUAUAUGCUCACCAGGCUCCCAAGCCUGACCCACUCAGUUUUAAAUUGUAUUACAGGUAGUGGCGGAAGGGCAUGAGAUGGAUGAACCAUCAAGUUGUUUUGUUUACAAGUCUGCAUAUGUUUAUAUUUGUUAUAUGACUUGUAAUGUAUUCGUUUAUGCUUAUUGGUCUGUAUCGGAACAUGACACCCCGAGUUUUGAUUAUAAUGAAAAUACAUUUCUUUUAUGAAAUGCUUCGGUAAACAAUGUUUUAUCAUGUUUUGUUUUUGGGAACAAAUUCCGCAACUCUUUCAAAUCAAAAGGAUUUACUCUGAAAAUAUUUAAAAGCAUAAAUGAAAAUCGGUCUUUUCUGGCCGAGAUUUUGGGGAUGUCACAGUUGGUAUCAGAGCAUUAGUUUAAGCGAACUAGGAAUUUGUAGGAUUUCUAGACUUAAACUUAGAAUGCUAAGUGAAGUUUUGAGAUGUGUGUCUGUUGUGUUUUAGACACGAGCACUAGUUUAUUUUAGGAAAGUUGCCUAAAAUGCUUUAUGUGCUAAAUGUUAUAUGUUGCCAUAUAUGAUAUUAUUUGUUCGGAUCUAUGGUCUGUUGCCGACCGGAUCUAGAAACCUUAUGUGUGUAGGAUUCUAAGCGUACGUCUACGAUAUUAGAACUAGCAUGUAAACGUUUCGGAGUGAUAAGGAUGAUUUGAAUAUCUAUCAUGAUUGAGGAUCUAAUUUCACCUUAUUCGGGGUGUAGAUCAAAAUGGUGAGAACAAGAAGUGGAGUUGGAAAUGCUGACGAAAACAGGAAUCAACCACCAGUGAUUGAGCCAAUACCUGUCGUAGCAGCAGCACCUGAGCCAAUAACCAUGGCUGGUGUGCAAUUGAUGAUUCAGACGAUGUUGGAUCGUCAGAUGGAUGAAACUAGACGGUUGCUUCAACAAAAUCGUGAAGAACUGUCGAUUCGUGUGGAAGAGCCUGAAUUAAAUGAAGGGCACUCGGAAGGUGGAAACUUCAGUGGGUCUGUUGGUCCAGCCAACCCACCGAUAGUUAGGCAAGAUAACCAUGAAGGAAGGAAUGAUGGAAUGGGAUGCAAGUACAAGGACUUUUUGACUUGCAAACCAUCGACCUUCAAUGGAAAGGAGGAUCCGAUUGGGGUUAUGGAUUGGAUCUCCGAAAUGGAGUUAGCCUUUAUGACAUGUGGCUGCAGAGGUAAGUUGCAGACUAUCUAUGCCGUGCGACAAUUCCGAGGUGGAGCCGUUCGUUGGUGGAACACUCUAGGGAAGACCUUAAGCCCUAAUGAGCCACUGCAAUUGUCAUGGGCAGAGUUCUUGGUGCAGUUCAAGCGCAAGUUCUGCUCGGCUCAAAAUCUGUUGGAGUUGGAGAAUAAGUUUUUGACAUUGACGAAGGGUAGCAUGUCAGUUGAUGAAUACACCAAUAACUUCACCGAUAAGAUGGAGUUUGCCUUGCGUAUCGUUCCAGACGAGCUGACAAAGGUGGAUCGGUAUGCGAAGGGACUUCCAUGGGAGUACGAGGUGCCGGUACGUCAGGCACUUACUCUAGAGGCAGCUAUCUGGGCUGCCAAGUCUGUGGAGAACAUGAUCAAGGGGAGAACCACCGUCAAGGUUGAGGUUGGUGAGAAAAGGAAGUUUGAAGGAACAUCUGGUUCCAGUAAGAAGAGCAAAUUUUCGAAAUCUGAUUCGAAAAAGUUUGGAGGAAAAGGAGGCGAAGCAAAGUGGUGUGAUAAGUGUAAGAAAAAGCACUUUGGGAAAUGUAGCGAGGAUGUGACCUGCUACAAGUGUGGAAAGGUUGGACAUUUUGCCAAUGAAUGUCCGAACAACAAAAGGAUGUGUUUUGGUUGUAAUGAAGAGGGGCAUAUUUUGAAAGACUGUCCGAAGAAGAAGGAGGCAGCUAGGCCCAACAUUCCACCAAAGCCGAAGGCGAGAGCCUUCCAGAUGACACUUGAGGCUGCGAAAGAUGAAGCUGAUGUCGCUUCAGGUACCUUUCUCGUAAACGAAUUACCUGCUCAUAUAUUGUUUGAUUCUGGAGCCAACUACUCCUUUAUUUCGCAUGAGUUUGGUAGAAAGCUAGCUUUGCCUGUUGAUAGACUAAAUAAUGCUUUAUUAGUCGAAGUAGCUAGUGGCAAGUUUGUACCUGUUAGCCAUCGUAUGAAAAACGUCUUGAUCGACCUUAAUGGGAAUAAGUUUCUCGAGGAAUUAUUGCCUAUCGAACUAAAUGGUUUCGACAUCGUCUUGGGAAUGGAUUGGCUUAGCGCCAAUGAUGCCGAAAUUUUGUGCAAGAAGAAGAUAGUUAAAGUAAACCCGCCUGGAAAAGAUUCGUUUAUGGUGUAUGGGGACAAACGCAGAGUGAAUUCUGGAAUCAUUUCUCUAAUGAAAGCCAGAAAGUGUUUGACCAAGGGAUGUACAUCAUAUUUAGCAUUCGUGAUUGAUGCUAAGAAAGAAAAGAAGGUGAUGCAGAGCAUUCCAGUGGUGUGUGAUUAUCCGGAAGUAUUUCCCGAGGAUCUUCCUGGAUUACCACCUGAUAGACAAGUGGAGUUCAGAAUAGACUUGUUACCAGGAACCACGCCAAUAGCAAAAGCACCUUAUCGAUUAGCACCGACGGAGAUGAAGGAGCUAAUGAUGCAACUUCAGGAGUUAUUGGACAAAGGUUUCAUUAGACCUAGUUCAUCGCCCUGGGGAGCUCCGGUGUUAUUUGUAAAGAAGAAAGAUGGAAGUAUGAGAAUGUGCAUCGAUUACAGAGAGCUGAACAAGGCAACAAUAAAGAAUAGAUAUCCGUUGCCGAGGAUUGAUGACCUGUUUGAUCAAUUGCAAGGUUCGAGCUAUUUCUCGAAGAUCGAUCUUAGGUCAGGAUAUCAUCAGCUGAAAGUAAGAGAGCAAGAUAUCGAGAAGACUGCAUUCAGAACUAGAUAUGGACACUACGAGUUCUUGGUUAUGUCGUUUGGACUAACCAAUGCUCCAGCAGCGUUCAUGGAUUUGAUGAAUAGGGUUUGUAAUCCUUUCCUUGAUAAAUCCGUGAUAGUGUUCAUAGACGACAUUCUGAUCUACUCGAAAAGCCAGGAGGAGCAUGGCAGACACUUGCGAGAAGUGUUAGAAGUUUUGAAGAAGGAGAAGCUUUAUGCGAAGUUCUCCAAAUGUGAUUUUUGGAUUCGUGAAGUCCAAUUCUUGGGUCACGUGGUCAACCAAGAAGGGAUAAUGGUUGAUCCAGCGAAGAUCGAAGCUGUGACGAAGUGGGAACAACCGAAAAGUCCCACGGAGAUUCGAAGCUUUUUAGGAUUAGCCGGAUAUUACCGAAGGUUUAUCCAAGGCUUUUCUUCGAUUGCUACUCCAUUAACAGCUUUGACCCACAAAGGAGCUACUUAUGCUUGGAGUGAGAAGCAUAAAGAAGCAUUCGAGAAGUUAAAGAAGAAGCUAUGCGAGGCACCGAUACUUUCUCUACCCGAUGGAGUUGAAGACUUCGCUGUUUAUAGCGAUGCGUCUGGUGUUGGAUUGGGUUGUGUUUUGACCCAAAGAGAAAAGGUGAUAGCAUAUGCGUCUCGACAGCUGAAAGAGCAUGAAAAGAAUUACCCGACUCAUGAUUUGGAGUUGGCAGCGGUAGUUUUCGCUCUGAAAAUAUGGAGGCAUUACCUCUAUGGCACGAAGUGCAAACUUUUCACUGAUCAUAAGAGUCUCCAAUACCUCUUUAAUCAGAAAGAAUUGAAUAUGAGGCAACGACGCUGGCUAGAAUUACUUAAAGACUACGACUGCGAGAUACUUUACCACCCCGGUAAAGCUAAUGUUGUUGCUGAUGCUCUCAGUCGGAAGGUCAAUCUUGAAAGGAAGAGGCCAAGAGCGUUGAGAAUUGAAGUUGUCUCGACCAUUGUGGAAAGUAUAAAGAAAGCUCAAGAGGAAGCUUCUGAGAAAAAUGACCGAAAGGAGGAACGUUUGGGUAAAACGUUGGUGUUUGGUACUAACGGUCAUGGACUGAAGGUAUUCCAAGAUCGUAUUUGGGUACCUAAGUCAGGAGGAAUUAGGGAUCUUCUGAUGGAAGAAGCUCACAAGACCAUGUACUCGAUUCAUCCGGGUAGCACUAAAAUGUAUAGGGACCUGAAACCCUACUACUGGUGGCCGACGAUGAAGCUUGAUGUUGCAAAGUAUGUGGCCGAGUGUGUGACUUGUGCGAGAGUCAAGACACAACAUCAGAAACCGUACGGGAGUUUAGAACCUUUGCCUGUGCCUAUGGGUAAGUGGGAAGACAUUGCUAUGGAUUUUGUCACUAAACUGCCCAGAACAAAGAAUGGUCACGACAUGAUUUGGGUGGUCGUUGAUCGAUUCACUAAGAGUGCGCAUUUCAUAGCGGCCAGGGAGAAAUGGUCUAUGGAAAAGCUUGCGAAUUCUUACGUGAAGGAAAUUGUGAGGCUUCACGGUGUUCCGUUAACGAUUGUAUCGGAUCGUGAUAGCCGUUUCACCUCAAGGUUUUGGAAAAGUCUACAAGAGGAAAUGGGUACCAAGUUAUGUUUAAGCACAGCUUACCAUCCGCAGACUGAUGGUCAGAGUGAAAGAACAAUACAAACACUUGAAGAUAUGCUGAGAGCAUGUACCUUGGAAUUCCUAGGUAAUUGGGAUGAACAUUUACCGUUGGUAGAAUUUUCCUAUAAUAAUAGUUUUCACUCGAGCAUUAAGAUGGCACCUUAUCAAGCUUUGUAUGGACAGAAGUGUCGUACGCCGUCUUGUUGGCUUGAGGCUGGGGAAAAGCAGUUUAUGGGACCGGAGAUGGUUCAUCAAACUGCUGAAAAGUUGAAAAUAAUUAGGGAAAGAAUGUUAGCAGCUCAAGAUCGUCAAAAGAGCUAUGCUGACAAGAAGCGAAGACCGAUGACUUUUGAGGUUGGAGAUUCGGUUUUGCUUAAAGUCUCGCCGUGGAAGGGACUUAUAAGAUUUGGUAAAAGGGGAAAGUUGAGUCCAAGGUUUAUUGGACCGUUUAGAGUCCUUCAGAGGAUUGGGAAUCAAGCUUACAAGCUCGAAUUACCCGAAGAACUGAAUGGAAUUCACAACACCUUUCAUGUGUGUUAUUUGAGGAAGUUCACGGGAGAAGUUCCCGAUAUAAUUCCAAUUUCUGAAUUGAGAAUUGAUGAGAACAAAAGGUUGAUUGAAGAACCAGAGGCAAUUGUUGACCGAAAGACUAAGAAGUUGCGACGCAAAAUGGUUGGGUUAGUGCUUGUCCGAUGGAAACACACGAAUGGGCCGAAUCUCACCUGGGAGACGGAGAGUGACAUGUUGAGUCGCUAUCCGCAUUUGUUUGUUGAUGUGUGAUUCCGGGGACGGAAUCAUUCUAAGGUGGAGAGAAUUGUAACGCCUGUGUUUCGGGCUUGCCAUUUGUAGCAAUGUAAUAGUCUAGGUUAACCUCUGUAACCCGUUUUGAAAUAAUAAGAUUGUAUUAUUUGAGUAUUAUGUGUUUUGUGCUUAAUUGCUUAAUUAUGUGGUUUGAUUAAUUAAGAAUAAAAAUAAGCGUCAAAAUUUAAGUGUAAAAUAAACUUAAUAUAUUUGGUUAAUGUUGUAGUAGUUGAAACGAGGUUUCCGAAUAUAUAUAGAACGCCCAAAUCUGACUUCGUAUGAGGAAGUUAUGAUUUAUCGAAGUUCCGGCUUAGCGAUAUACAGCCUGUUUUACUCGAUUUGAGAUCGAGCGGUUGUUAGCCGAAGCAAUCUAAAUGAGAAUCGAAGAUCUCAUUGUUGGUAUUGAAACGAUAAAAAGUUAGGCGAGAACGGACGUCAAACGAAGAAGUUAUGAAUUUAUAACGAAAGUUUCUGUCCCGGCCUAUUAAAAAUAAUUAAUAAAAAUAAAGUCAAAAUUAGCCGACGGAGUCUAAACGAAAGUCGUAGAGCAUGGUCUCACCUUCGCGUGGAUAUAAAGAACGUCGAAAACGGAGUUCGUAUGAAGAAGUUAUGAAUUUCCGAAGUUUAUUAAUCAUUUUGUAUUUAUAUUUAAAUCAAAAUUCGGAAGCAUUAUCCGAAGGAGUCACCGAUCUGAUCCGAGGUACGCCCCGCGUACUCGAGUACGCCCCGCGUACUCCGAGGGAUGUCGACACUCGCACUCGAGCACUUCGGAUACGUAAGCAAUGACGUUUUGGGCAGUACGCCCCGCGUAACGCAGUACGCCCCGCGUACUCCGAGGCUCCAGCCUCCUAUAAAUAGGAUGCGAGGGUUCCGGGUAUUUUUGCCAAUUCCCUCUCGUUUUCGUGUCGAAGCUCUGUGCAAAAACCCCCGAAGCUACCCCGAAGUCCCGGUAUCAUACUCUAGCCCCGAGGCAAGUCCCGAGAUCCCGAAGAUCCCGAAAAGUGCGGUUCCCGAGUCGAAGCUCUGCCCGCGAGAAGUUCGAUUUUCGAGAAGAUCUUCCAGAUCUGCUGUGGAUUACUACUUCUAUAAGCCGUAGUGCUGUCCGAUCAUCUUCUGAUCAAGUGAGUGUGUAGUUAUUUCUUCUAAUACAAUAAUACGAAGUAUUUUAUAUAAAAAUACGUGCUAUGUGUAUAUAUUUGGUUGUGUUAUGUGUGAAUGAGUAUUCACUCUCUUCUAUCUUAUAGAUCUGCUUAUUUCUUUAUGAGAUAUGUGUUAUGUGUGUGUGUGCCUCAUCUGUUAUGUGAUAUAUGUGUUGAUUAAAGCAUGCUAUACAGGUUUUCUUUAAACUAUGUAUACAAAUGUAUAUUUUUAUCUACUAAUAUGUUGGGUAGAACAUGGGUAGACAGUUGGUGUGUAAUAAACAGAUGAGAGGCCUCGUUGUUGUUUGAUUGAGUCAUCUAGCGGAGUUUAGAUGACGACCACUGGCUAUUCUAGACAGUCUUGUGGAAACAUUAGCAGGUUCGCCACCUGUAGGUGUUAAUGAACUUGGGUGUUCAUUCGCUGUACUCCAUCCCCCUCAUGGUUGCCUUAUUUGACUUAUAUUGCUGAGGUACCCCCGAAGCAUGUGUUGUCGCCCCGAUGAAAUAUUCUUAGACUAGGUCCCUUAUGUUAGUUUUUUUAGGGACAUUAAAGUGAGAAUAACGAGAAUGGAUAAUUGGGUUAUUGUUGGUUGGUGAAAAUUAAAUAUGAUAUUUAUUGUGGGUUGAAAACCCUAUAUGCUCACCAGGCUCCCAAGCCUGACCCACUCAGUUUUAAAUUGUAUUACAGGUAGUGGCGGAAGGGCAUAAGAUGGAUGAACCAUCAAGUUGUUUUGUUUACAAGUCUGCAUAUGUUUAUAUUUGUUAUAUGACUUGUAAUGUAUUCGUUUAUGCUUAUUGGUCUGUAUCGGAACAUGACACCCCGAGUUUUGAUUAUAAUGAAAAUACAUUUCUUUUAU